rnacentral:rRNA from 1 species
CGCUACGGUGAAUACGUUCCCGGGUCUUGUACACACCGCCCGUCACACCAUGGGAGUUGGUUCUACCUUAAGUCGCCCUUAAAAGCGCCCACGGUAGGGUCAAUGACUGGGGUG